rnacentral:rRNA from 1 species
UGGGGAAUAUUGCACAAUGGGCGAAAGCCUGAUGCAGCGCCGCCGCGUGAGGGAUGACGGCCUUCGGGUUGUAAACCUCUUUCAGCAGGGACGAAGCGCAAGUGACGGUACCUGCAGAAGAAGCACCGGCUAACUACGUGCCAGCAGCCGCGGUAAUACGUAGGGUGCAAGCGUUGUCCGGAAUUACUGGGCGUAAAGAGUUCGUAGGCGGUUUGUCGCGUCGUUUGUGAAAACCAGCAGCUCAACUGCUGGCUUGCAGGCGAUACGGGAAGACUUGAGUACUGCAGGGGAGACUGGAAUUCCUGGUGUAGCGGUGAAAUGCGCAGAUAUCAGGAGGAACACCGGUGGCGAAGGCGGGUCUCUGGGCAGUAACUGACGCUGAGGAACGAAAGCGUGGGUAGCGAACAGG